AAAGAGAAAAAACAAAGGAAAACAAAGAAGAGAAAUCGGCCAAGGAGGGAAAAAAUUCAUUCCUUGAAAUUUCAUCCCUAAAAUUAUAAUUUCUUGGUAUUUUUACUAAAUCAAGGGUCCUUUAUAACAUGGUAGAUUUAUUUUUGAAGAUAGAAGGCUUGUUUGGUUGAUUUGGAGCUUUGAUUAAGUGAAGAAGUUAGAAGGAAAAGAUUUUGGAGGAAACGGAAAUUGAAUUUGGACAAGCGUGAAAAUCCGAUAAGCAGGUACCGAAGUUCAAUUUGCUGAUUCACCUAUUUAGGAUAUUGAUGCGUCGUUGACAGUGCUCCCUUGUUCGGAGCUUGUAUUUUGGUACUGACUUUAUCUCUAUAUAUUUGGAUAUGUUGGUCAGGGGUACGACGGGACCUUGUCCCGUCAUAUGACUAUGCUAUCAUCUGUAGAGGUCUGUUGACAGAGUUAUGUUGUGGGUUUUGUAUAUAUGUUUUGGAUUUUGUGUGUUUCGUGAUGGCCUAUCGGCCCUCGUGCCUACAUCUAUUUUUGUGAUCUAUUUAGCAAUUUUUUCUAAUCACUACCUAUGUUUAUUCGAUUAAAAUGUUAAUUUGGGAUAAGGGUACGUUUUGGUGCCCAACUCGGGCACCAGUCACUGUCUACGGGGUUGGAUCGUGACAGUUUUGAUGACCGACAUGUCCGUGACCAAUGCCCCAUACCUCCACAUCUAUGACAUAUACUUUUUGAAUUUUUCUUUGAUAAAGCUUCUGGCUUUUCACUCUUUUUUUUGUACUGCUGAUCAUUUCUCGGUGUCAGCCGAGUAUCAUUAUUAUUAUUUCUUAUUCGAUCAUGACCACGAUUACGACCACGACUGGGGCCCCUUUUUCUCGUUGGUUAUAAUUUACCUGGUUCACUUCAGAGAGUGGCAAAGAACCAACGGGCCAACUAUCAUGAUUUUUCAUUAAUAGUUCAUUGUAACGUUCAUCAAUUAGAAGAUGAGAAAGUAAUUAAAAAUAUUUCUUAAAAUCCUUUUUGCGAUAUUGUUGCUACAGGAGCAUAUUCGCGGAUGGGAAUGUGGAGUAUGUUUUUUCAAGUUUAUCUUGCUUAGUGAUUUCUUCUCUGCAUAAAUUUAACUGAGCUAUAAUUCUAAACAAGACAAAAUUAUAUUCAGUUAUAUUUUUGAAAUCCAUUAUCUCAAAUUUAGCCAAUCAUGACGUGUCUGUAGAAGGAUGACCAACUUUAGGUGGUCAUAUCUUUCUUUAAGAUUCUUUCACAAUUUAAGAGGAUCUUUUAAUGUAAGGUACUGUAAUUUUAAUCUCUCGUCAAGAUGGUAACAGAGAAAUAUCAUGGCUUUGGCAUGGUCUUGACUAGAUGCCGUAUUGUCAUCUUUGAUGGUGUCUGUCAGACCCAUCGAUUCUAGAUGUAUUUCGACAUCUAGUGUCUAUGAUGAGUAGGCUUUUUUCAGAUAUGUCAAGAGCAAUAAA